GACGAACGCUGGCGGCGUGCUUAACACAUGCAAGUCGAACGGAAAGGCCCUGCUUUUGUGGGGUGCUCGAGUGGCGAACGGGUGAGUAACACGUGAGUAACCUGCCCUUGACUUUGGGAUAACUUCAGGAAACUGGGGCUAAUCCCGGAUAGGAGCUCCUGCUGCAUGGUGGGGGGUGGAAAGUUUCGGCUGUUGGGGAUGGACGCGCGGCUUAUCAGCUUGUUGGUGGGGUAGUGGCUGACCAAGGCUUUGACGGAUAGCCGGCCUGAGAGGGUGACCGGCCACCUUGGGCCUGCGGUACGGCCCAGACUCCUACGGUAGGCAGUAGUCGGGAGUCUGGCACAACCGGCGCAAGCCUGUUGCAACAACGCCGCGUUCGUGAUGACGGCCUUCUGGUUGUAAACCGCUUUCGCCUGUGACGACGCGUUAGUGACGGUAAUGGGUAAAUAAGCACCGGCUAACUACGUG
rnacentral:rRNA from 1 species